CACGCCGCGGAUUAUGGGAUUUACUAGCUGGAAGGAUGUAGUCGGCGGCCAAUGGAUUUUCACGUAGCAUGACAAGGAGUAUUUUGAGAUGCACACCACUGUCAAGUGCUCCUGACCGACAACAGGAACAAGGAACAACUGGUGGCCAAACUGGGAAGAGGCCACUUGAAGCUGUGGCUGCCGCUGAAUAGUUUAACCCUGGGAAAGGAGGACUAGAAAUCUAGUGUGCCGUUAUUGCCAGACCUGUGCUGCUGUGAAGUCUUGGGUGUGUCUUGGGAGAGCUAACAUCUCGUCACCGCAAGAACCUUAAUUGUUUGUUGCGGUGCAUCACACAUAAAGGAGCACACAAUCACCUUUAGAGCUUCACCUCUGAAACUCAUGCCAUUUCUUUGCACCUGGGGGUCAUCAACAAAUGCUUUCAGGUAGCCAUGCACAUUAGAUGGUUUUCCAGUUUCACAGAACAGACUUAACAGUUACAGCUAUACAUUUGUGUAGCUGCGAUCUAGCAUUGCAUGAAUUGGCCAGAACUUUUGAACUCUAUGUUGAACGUAAACAUGCUUUUAUUCAUAAAACUUCACUGUAAUCUCUGCAAGAAUCUGUUGUGGGACAUGCUAAAUACCCGCAUAUUGUUGCUUUGCUUGGGAUGCUGUAUUGUUUUGUAUACUAUAUUCCCUCUUCACUAGCUGUACCUGUCUAUUUUUAUUUUAAAUAAACUUAUCUUUUCUGUGA